GCGCGACCCCGUCGCGCGACCGCCUGGGGCCUCAAGGUCUCAGACGCCAAACUACAAGGAGCAGCGGGAGGGCGGCGCAGUGCUGGCGACGGCUGCCCUGGGAACAGAGGCGGACGACGCUAGUGCGGGCGGGCUGUGGGAGCUGCAGGUGGAGCCGAGGAGCUGAGGCCUGCGUGCAGCCGCUGCAAGCCGGCCUCAGAAAGUGUGUUUUUGUCCAUUUCUCCCAGCGCACCCUUUGCAUAUCUCUACCUACUUGUGCAUAAUUCAGCAUCCAGCAGAGGAAGACAAAAUGUUGCGGACAGUUCCUCUACCAGCAGCAUGCCUCCCCCAGGACAAGCGCAAAGUGAAGACUGGUCGUCGCUUCAGUGAAGAAAGAGAUCCUGAACUUUCAACUGUUUGCCGGAAGUUUGGUACAUUAAUGUUAUAUCCAGGGGCUAAUAUAAGAAGCUGCUAAUCUGGAAGAAUUUAUAUUAGAUUCUCCUGUUUAUCCUUCUACAAUCAUCGUCAUUGAUGGUACACGGAGCCAGGCUAAGGACAUUUUCUGUAAGAAUUCCUUGUUCUGACACCCCCAAACAGGUGCAGUUAAAAACGAGCAUUUCUAGUCAGUAUGUAAUUCGGAUACAGCCAAUUAAUAGAUGUCUUUCUACACUGGAGUGUGCACCUGUUGCUCUUUCCAUCUUGGAGAAAAAUAAUUACAUACAAGAGACUUUGCUUCGCCCUCUUGAAGCUUUAUGCUCUUUCCAGAUUUAGCAUGGUGCCCAAAUUGGCCCCAGCAAGCAACGCCUUCUGAAAAAAUGGAUUAUAUCCUAAACCAAUGCCAAAGAACAAACACAAACUCAGGAAAAUGGAACUAUUAAAGAAUAGUGUUAAA
rnacentral:lncRNA from 1 species